AAAAUGGCAAGAUGGAACGUCAAAAGCUGGGAGUCAAAAGCACAGGGCGACAAAUGUGCGUUGAUCCGCCUGAAGCAUUGUCCAGGUCUUGCCCGGAGGUGACUACUGGUCUAAAGACCGUUUUGUAGAUCCUGUGAAGAUAAAGACUGAAUAUGUAAUCCGAGGCGUGAGAGGCAAAAUGGCAAAUGACAUGUGACAAUAUGGAGAGAUUCCAUUCUCAAAUUUAAUAUUUGAGGAACUAACUUAUGGACGAAAACAUAGGAUUACUUAACCGUUAUCGAUUCACAAAAAAAUGAGAUACAUAAGGAUUCUAAAUUAUAUAAAAAAAACAAGCCAAAUGACAUUUUACAUCACUGGACACUUUCAACGAUUAUUAGAAUCGGAAAUAUGCAAGUAUUAUCAAUCAUUUUACAGAGGAUCCUCUUAAUUGUUAGAAAGAAUGUUAAAAUAAACAUGAAUAUCUGUUAAGUUAUCCAAGGCCAGAAUAACCAACACUAAUGUCGCUGUGUAGGAUGUAUAGAAUAAAAGUAAGUGGAAAUCUAAUUGCAGCAAAAACGUCUCAAACACUUCAAGAAGAAUACAGCAUAAUUAAUAGUGUAUUGUAGCUAAACAUGUCUAUAUAGUGUAUCUGUCGCAAUUAUAAAUGUUUGCAAUAUGAUAUGGAUUCAAACAUUUACACCCAGGUUUUUUUUUACACGGUUUGGUUUUAGUCGUUUAAGACCUUUAGCGACAACGAAACAAUGAGUUAACCCCACGAAAAAAUUCACAAAAAAUCAAAGAAAAUUCAGAGGGUAUUUAAAAAGCUGUGAAAGUUCAGGUUUACCAAGAAAUAAAUGAAUUCCAACCGUGUAAAAAAAAACCUGGGUGUAUAUUUGAUAAUAAAAAGUGUAUUUUUGGUGGUGUUA